AGCCGGAGCCCGCAGCGACCCGCAGAGCCGAACGCGCAGCCCCCGGGGCGGGGCAGACCCGGCAGGUGAGCGACCGGGCGCUCCCGGGGGUCUCGGCACGUAGCAAGCGAAGGCGUGGACGGUCCGCGCCGGCCUCUCCGUGUGCCUGCCUUUUGUGUUUAUUUCCUGGUGUGGAGCCCCGAUGGGACUGAGAGGCGUGUCCACCCGUAGGGCAGGAGGGAUUCCAGAUGGAAAAUUCAGAAAUAUUUAUGGAGCAGCCAUGCCAUUCUGGCACUACUAGAAAUGGAUCUAAGAAGAAAGCUUGCUCGGGAGCUCACUAUGCAUUGGGAGCAACAAACAAGAGAACUGGCAUGAACCUGUUAUGCUGAAGAUUCUAUUCCGGUUCUCCACUGAAGAUCCUGGCCGCCAGCAACACGCUUGGCAAAGGCACACAGGCGUCCGGAUCGGUGCCCCCCACUUCCCCCAUCUCGAAAGGCCAGUUUCUUACACAUCGUCACUGCUAAAUACAUUGACCAAAAGAGCUGUGCGUCGUCGUGGAAGGAGCACACUGUAUGGAAAUCCAAGGUGUUGGCUCUAGGUCCUGCUCUGAAACCAGCCAGCUCCAUAAUCUCGAGACUUCUAAGCUAGUGUAGCUUUCCUGAUUCCUGGGGAACAGACUGCGGGAUCUCGGAUGUACUUCUUGGCUCCAGAUUUCUGCGCAGGAAGGAAGAAUGAAAGGAAAGGAGGAAA